rnacentral:rRNA from 1 species
UACGGGGGGGGGUAAGCGUUGUUCGGAAUUACUGGGCGUAAAGGGCUCGUAGGCGGCCAACUAAGUCAUACGUGAAAUCCCUCAGCUUAACUGGGGAACUGCGUCUGAUACUGGAUGGCUCGAGUGCAGGAGAGGAACGCGGAAUUCCAGGUGUAGCGGUGAAAUGCGUAGAUAUCUGGAGGAACACCGGUGGCGAAGGCGGCGUUCUGGACUGCAACUGACACUGAGGAACGAAAGCCAGGGGAGCAAACGGG